rfam:Felis catus isolate Cinnamon breed Abyssinian chromosome F2, whole genome shotgun sequence.
GUCUACGGCCAUACCACCCUGAGCGCACCCGAUCUCGUCUGAUCUCAGAAGCUAAGCAGGGUUGGGCCUGGUUAGUACUUGGAUGGAAGGGAGAAAAAGAGGACGGAUGGGGGCGCCUGGGUGGCUCAGCUGAUUGAGGGUC